rnacentral:rRNA from 1 species
UACGAGAGGCGCAAACGUUAUUCGGAAUUCCUGGGCUUAAAGAGUUCGUAGGCGGCGCAGAAAGUAGGGUGUGAAAGCCCUCGGCUUAACCGAGGAAUUGCGCUCUAAACUACUGUGCUUGAGGGACCUAGAGGUGAGCGGAACUGAUGGUGGAGCGGUGAAAUGCGUUGAUAUCAUCAGGAACACCGGAGGCGAAGGCGGCUCACUGGGGGUCUUCUGACGCUGAGGAACGAAAGCCAGGGGAGCGAACGGG